CGCUUCUCUUCUCUUCGUCAUUUCCGCUCCCUCAGGCAGACACGCCGCCUACUGCAACACAGGUCUCUCUCUCUCUCUCUCUCUCUCUCUCUCCCCCCGCGCCAUGGGUUCUGAUUAACGCCAUGGCAGUCUUCUCUCGUGUGCCUCCAAAGUUUGGAGGGGAAUCCGAAAUUUUCACUACAAGGCGUCGUUUGUGAUUUCCCCCCAAAAAUGCCGUUCUUAAUUUUGCGCUUUUGAUUUUUAUUGGGAAGUUAACUCUCAGAAGCCCCCUCUUCUCUCCUCUGUGUUUUGCCAGGUCCCAGCAACCCACUCUUCUCUCCUUUCCUCUGAGUUUCGCCAGGUUCAUAACGCCCUUUCUAAUCUCUCUCGAUUUCGAUUUGCUGGGGCGAGAUUAAGGCUCGAUCUCGGUUUGUAGCAGUGAGAUUAAGGUUUAAGGUCUUAACAAUUGAAAGUAUUCGGAUCUCGUAUCGCUCAGUUCUCACUAGGGACGGCGUUUUAUUGGAGUAUCAUGUAGUAUGUUGGUUAUUGAUUAUGAAGAUCGAAGUUGGAUUUUGGUUGUAGACGUGCUUGGGCUUUUUUUGGUUAUCUGUUUGUUGAAGUUGAACUAUUUAGUAUUUUGCGGUCCAUGAGGUUUAGAUACAUUUUGUUACUGAGCUUAGAUUUUUUUAUUUUCCCCCCGUAGUUGGACGUGUUGUUAUUGAGAUUGGAUUUUGUUGUUUUUUUGGAUACAAGUUGUUUUUUAACUAUUUGGUGGACACCUCUAUUUAUGAAAGUUUGUAUUUAUUUCUUGGAA